rnacentral:lncRNA from 1 species
GUAUGGUAAGGCAUUAAUAUUAUAAAGAAGUAUAUUGGUCUCAUACCUCUUGCUACUUUUGGGGUGGUGUAGAAGAAGAAAAACAAGAGAGUUUUUGAGGGAAUGAAAGAUGAUUUUGAUAGGAUAAAAGAUAAAUGAUUCUAGACCCUAGGUUUUUUUAUUAUUAGUCAUUCUCUCUAUUCUGUUGAGGACUUUGGGAAGCUUAUUGAUAACUUGAUCAAUAUGUAAAUAUUAUUGUACAUGUGCAUGAAUCAUAUUA